rnacentral:sRNA from 1 species
GAGACGACUAAAAAUGAGAUGUACGA